GGGAGCAUGGCGAGGGCGGGCGUGUUUCUUUUCAAAAUAUGGCUUGCAGGAACCGUUAUUCCAAAUUCUCGUACCCCACCUUUAAUGACAUGCAUCCCAAAGCCAGAAAAAUCUUCUCUGUUUUUCUGGACAAGUCCUACAGCAAAAGAGAGACUGUGCCAGGUACAGAAGCAAAUGGGGAGGCAGACUCUGAAUAGAGGUAGAUACACGCUGGAACAGCACUUUCCACAUGCUGGAACUCCUUUAUAAUGAGACAGAACCAGUGGGAGCAGCCCUGGCAUCUUUAAAGACUAACAUCUCCCCAGUUAAUGCUCAUGAGCAUGAGGCUGUUGGAGAUACUUUACAUAUUCUGGCUCCAAUCCAUCAGGCUACUGUAGAACUAUCUGAGGAGAAAAGGGUAUCUGCUUCAAAUAAUCUGUCUACAAUGGAGUCACUUAGUGCGAUGACGACGACAACCAUGCUCGAUCCGAGGUUUAAAGCCACUGGGUUCCUAUGCCAAAAUAAGAUGCAUGAAGCAGUAAAGCAACUGAAAGUAGAGUGGGCCAAUAGAAUUACAAUUGCUGAAUCUGCUAGAUCGAGUGAGCCCUUAAUCCAGCAGCCAGCCUCCUCUGAAACAGCUGGGAUGCAAACAGCUGUAUUGUCUUGUAGCAUCUGCUGGACCCCACAGUGAAUCAGAGCAGAAGAAGCUCAAAUGCCACUGCUGAUGCAACAAUAGAAGGGGAACGUUACUUGGGCGAGGCCAACCUUCCAAAAAUUGUAGAUCCACUUGUAUAUUGGAGUCCACAAAAACAUGUUUACCCCCACCACUACCAGCUGGCACUUCAGUUUUUAUGUUCACCAGCAUCCUCAGUACCAUGUGAAAGGGUGUUCUCCGAGGCUGGGGAGGGAAUUUCUAAGAAAUGAACCGCCUCAAUCCAAAUACAGUAAAACAAUUACUUUAUUUAUUUAUUUAUUUUUUAAAGAACAUAAUCAAUAAAGGUUCCCCUAAAUAUGA